AGAGUUUGAUCCUGGCUCAGAACGAACGCUGGCGGCGCGCCUAAUACAUGCAAGUCGAGCGAGAAGACCGAGCAAUACGUUUGUAAAGCGGCGAACGGGUGAGGAAUACAUGGGUAACCUACCCUCGAGUGGGGAAUAACUAGCCGAAAGGUUAGCUAAUACCGCAUACGACUCUUGGUCUGCGGAUCGAGAGGGAAAGCGAUACCGUGGGUAUCGCGCUCUUGGAUGGGCUCAUGUCCUAUCAGCUUGUUGGUGAGGUAAUGGCUCACCAAGGCUUCGACGGGUAGCUGGUCUGAGAGGACGAUCAGCCACACUGGCACUGCGACACGGGCCAGACUCCUACGGGAGGCAGCAGUAAGGAAUAUUGCGCAAUGGGCGACAGCCUGACGCAGCGACGCCGCGUGGGGGAUGAAGGUCUUCGGAUUGUAAACCCCUUUCGGCAGGGAAGAUGGAACGGGAAACCGUUCGGACGGUACCUGCAGAAGCAGCCACGGCUAACUUCGUGCCAGCAGCCGCGGUAAUACGAAGGUGGCAAGCGUUGUUCGGAUUUACUGGGCGUACAGGGAGCGUAGGCGGUUGGGUAAGCCCUCCGUGAAAUCUCCUGGCCUAACCCGGAAAGUGCGGAGGGGACUGCUCGGCUAGAGGAUGGGAGAGGAGCGCGGAAUUCCCGGUGUAGCGGUGAAAUGCGUAGAGAUCGGGAGGAAGGCCGGUGGCGAAGGCGGCGCUCUGGAACAUUUCUGACGCUGAGGCUCGAAAGCGUGGGGAGCAAACAGGAUUAGAUACCCUGGUAGUCCACGCCUUAAACGAUGGAUACUAAGUGUCGGCGGGUUACCGCCGGUGCCGCAGCUAACGCAGUAAGUAUCCCGCCUGGGAAGUACGGCCGCAAGGUUGAAACUCAAAGGAAUUGACGGGGGCCA
rnacentral:rRNA from 1 species